GACGUAGGGGGCGAGCGUUGUCCGGAUUUAUUGGGCGUAAAGCGUGCGUAGGCGGACUUGUCAGUCAGGGGUGAAAUCCCGGGGCUCAACCUCGGAACUGCCUCUGAUACAGCAAGUCUUGAGUCCGGAAGAGGUGGGUGGAAUUCCUAGUGUAGAGGUGAAAUUCGUAGAUAUUAGGAAGAACACCGGUGGCGAAGGCGGCCCACUGGUCCGGUACUGACGCUGAGGUGCGAAGCGUGGGG
rnacentral:rRNA from 1 species